GGAGGGAUGGCCGAGUGGUUGAUGGCGGCGGUCUUGAAAACCGUCGCGGCGCCUCGCAGUUCCCUCGAUUUCUUCA
rnacentral:tRNA from 1 species